UACGGAGGGUGCAAGCGUUGUUCGGAAUCACUGGGCGUAAAGCGCGUGUAGGCGGCCUCUUAAGUCUGGUGUGAAAGCCCGGGGCUCACCCCCGGAAGGGCACUGGAUACUGGGAGGCUAGAGUACCGGAGAGGAGGGUGGAAUUCCUGGUGUAGCGGUGAAAUGCGUAGAUAUCAGGAGGAACACCGGUGGCGAAGGCGGCCCUCUGGACGGCUACUGACGCUGAGACGCGAAAGCGUGGGGAGCAAACAGG
rnacentral:rRNA from 1 species